UUCAUACCACCUCCAUCAAACUCAAAACCCAUCUUUAUCACUCUCUCUCUCUCUCUAGACUCUUCACUUUCUCUCUCUUGCAUGGCCGCAAACAGCAAACCACAGUCUCUGUCAGUCCCACCCAUCAAACCCAAAACCCAUCACUCCCACACCACCACCAAUGGCGAUUCAAGCGAGAGCAGCUCUUCCAGCCCACCACCAUCGCCUCGCCGUCCCUCCGCCGCAGCCCAAUGCCGCCGGCGCCGGCUUCCGCACAAAGUCGAAUCCCUUUCCAGCCGUGAGAGCAUCAUCGCCGGAAUAUUCCCCCGGCGAGGCCUCCGGUACUUUUUGCUUUUGCCUCUUCUGUACGUCUCGGGCUUGAUCAUGUGUGUGGGUCCCUUCUCUUCUUGGAUGCGACCCCGUCCUUUGCCUGGAUCGGUCUACCGUAGCCACGAGAUCUUUCUCAAGCUCUGGGAUGAUAUUCGCUCUGACAAUUCGUCGGGAAUUGAGUUGUCCACUCUAUGGAGAUACAGGAGGAAGCUCAAAGAGCAGAAACCAUGCCCAGAAACAACUUCUGGCCGAAAUUUUGGGUACUCUGCACAUUACUUGGUUGUUGAAGCUAAUGGUGGCCUUAAUCAACAGCGCUCGUCGAUUUGCAAUGCGGUGGCAGUGGCUGGACUUUUAAAUGCGACACUGGUCAUCCCUCACUUUGAGUUCCACAGUGUUUGGAAGGAUCGAAGUCAGUUUAGUGAUAUUUAUGAUGAGGAGCAUUUCAUUACCAGCCUUGAGGGUUAUGUCAGAGUGGUUCGCAAGCUACCAGAGGAAUUGUUGGAAGUAUAUGAUUUCAACAUCAGCAACAUACCAAAUCUGCGAGUCCAAGCUUGGGCUACGGCAAAAUAUUACUUGGAAGAAGUUCAUCCUGUCUUGAGUAAGCAGCGAGUUAUCCGCAUUUCUCCCUUUGCAAACAGAUUGGCAAUGAAUGUUGCACCUCACAUUCAAUUUCUGCGAUGCCUAGCCAACUAUGAAGCAUUGAGAUUCUCUCUUCCAAUAGCUACAUUUGCAAAGAAAUUGGUCAGCCGAAUGAUGGGCAAGAGCUCGAGCACUGGUGGGCAGUAUGUUUCCAUCCACCUUCGAUUUGAGGAGGACAUGGUGGCCUUUUCAUGCUGCAAGUAUGAUGGGGGGAAGAGAGAGAAUUUUGAAAUGGAUUCAGUAAGGGAAAAUGGUUGGGGAGAGAAGUUCAAACGUAAAGACCGUGUCAUUGCACCUGGCCUUAAUCGAAUCAACGGAAAAUGCCCUAUGACACCUUUGGAGGUUGGAAUGAUGCUUAGGGGUAUGGGGUUUGCCAACAAUACUCCGAUUUAUUUGGCCUCGGGGAAAAUUUACAAGAGUGAGAGAAAUUUAGCACCUCUACUAAAGAUGUUUCCCCUCCUACAGACUAAGGAAUCCCUUGUAUCCCCAGAAGAGCUUGCUUCAUUUGAGGGCUAUUCAUCGAGAUUGGCCGCUUUAGACUACAUGGUAUGCCUGUUGAGUGAGGUAUUUGUUACCACUCAAGGUGGAAACUUCCCUCAUUUUCUGAUGGGCCACCGAAGAUUCCUGUAUGAUGGACAUGCUAAAACUGUCAAGCCGGAUAAAAGUCAGCUUGCUGUUUUGUUGCAGGACACAAGCAUUAGUUGGAAGGUUUUUAAAGAUCAAAUGGAGGCAAUGCUAGCAGAAAGUGAUCGCAAGGGGAUAAUGGUACCUAGAGUUAAAAAAAGCAACCGAAAGUCUUCUGUUUUCACGAACCCUAUGCCAGAAUGCCGGUGUCUUUGGGAAUCAAAAAACUCAACACUCAAAGCAUGGGCCCGUACUUUUCAUACGCCUGAUCGAUGACAGUACCCCAUUAAGUGAAAAAAGAGGCUCGCUCUGCAGCUACUUCCAACUCACAGAGUCUCUCCAUUCAUAUGAUUUGAAGUACAUUUUUCCUGAUGCUUUAGUUGCCCUGGGUUUUUUGAUGCAUUGUUGCCACACAAAUUGUACAGGUGAUUUGGGUUUCAAAAUUUUGACCACUGGUGGCAGAUUCAUUGUUCAACAAAUUUUCUUUUUGACAUUCAACAUGGAGGUUCUCAAAACGCUCAAGUUGCUUCAUGAAAAAUCCAUGUGUGCCAAAAGUACAGGACAUAAAUGUAAGACUAUCCACAACUACUCAUCAGCGUCUCAUUUUGUGAAAUUCUUCUGGAUUCCUAGCACAGUUUGCUUCGGCUCUCAUUGUUUGGCUGUGAAGACACUUGUCAUCCUUUUGAUUUGUGUACAUUGCUUUCACAUUUUGAUCGGGAGGAUGGUCAUAUCUGACGUGGUGGUGUUUUGGACGACAAGACAUUGAGUUUGACCUUGCAGCUAUGCUCUUGACAUUCAAUGGCUGUUCAUGACUUGUUUGCAAGUUCUUCAUAGUCAGGAAGGGCAGAGACGAUAAACAUCACCUGGAAACACUUUGUUUUUGCUCUGUUUCAGUCCUGUGGUAGUAGGGUGUCCCUCAAAAGUAGUGACCGGCCGGCCACCACUCUGUACGGUUGACCACUUUCAAGGCCGGCCGGCCACCAAUUUUGCAUAGGCAGUGGCAUUUUUACAGCAGAAUAGAACAAAAUUUGAGGCCAAAACAGAAUAAUUUUAUGACUGCAAACAUAAUAGAUUCUGGCAGCAAACAAAGAUUUUCGGGAGGAUGUUUUCAGUUGUGUGUGUGCGGCUUCUCGCUUCUCGCUUCCCGUUCAAGUCCAUUAAUUAAGUACUUUAAUAUUAGUAUGUGUAAUUAAUUAGUUAGAUUCAUUCGAAUUUGUAAUAGCUAGUUAAUUUAGUUAAUUCAUUUGGUGUUGUAAUAAUUAGUUAAUUAAGACAUUCAUUCGGAC